rnacentral:tRNA from 2 species
GCCGACGUAGCUCAGGUGGUAGAGCGCAUCCUUGGUAAGGAUGAGGUCACGGGUUCAAUUCCCGUCGUUGGCU